AUCGCUAAGUGGAGCUUGAAGAAACUUACCAGGAUUCCCCCAGUAGCUGCGAGCGAACAGGGAAGAGCCCAUCGCCGAAUCCUCGCCCCCUUUUCGGGGGAAAGAGGACCUGUGGCGUAUGGGACGGGUCUUUCCGACCGCGACGCGCGGGUCCGAGUCUUCGCGAAAGGAGCGUCCUCCCAUAGCGGGUGCGAGGCCCCUGGAGACUCCGCCAGCGUCGGCGGCGGAGCUGACCCGUCUCGAGAGUAAGGUUGCCCGGGAGCGCAACCCGAAGCGGGCGGUAAACUCCGCCUAAGGCUAAACUUUUCCACCGGCGAGACCGAUAGUCGACAAGUACCGCGAGGGAAAGUUGAAAAGAACUUUGAAGAGAGAGUUCAACAGUACGUGAAACCGCUCGCGGGUUAAACGGACGGCUCGGCCGAACGGGACGGUGGGGAAACGUCUCAACCGGUUAUUACUUCGGUAAGAACCGGCGCAUUUCUCCGCCGACGUCCCGGGGGUCGGGCGAUCGUCGGACGUGGCGAGGCUCCGGUCUCGUCCGUUUCCUUCGGGAGGCGGAGGAUCGUGAGCUACCGCUACUGUGCCGCUUUCGUCGGUCGGACCCUUUCAUAUCCGGUCGCCCGUCCGUCCCGUCUUGAAACACGGACCGAGGAGUCUAACACGUACGCGAGUCAGAGGGGUCGAAGAACCCUUAAGGCGAAACGAAAGCGAAUGGCGGGAUCCUCUUCUUUAAAAAAAGAGGCGCACCGCCCGCCCGUCGCCCUCUCUGAGCGGUGACGGAGCGAGAGCGUACACGUUAGGACCCGAAAGACGGUGAACUAUUCCCGGGCGGGACGAAGCCGGAGGAAACUCCGGUGGAGGUCCGCAGCGAUUCUGACGUGCAAAUCGAUCGUCAGACCCGGGUAUAGGGGCGAAAGACUAAUCGAACCGUCUAGUAGCUGGUUCCCUCCGAAGUUUCCCUCAGGAUAGCGGAAACCCGUAAAGGGGUGUCGUCCGGUAGAGCGAAUGAUCGGAGGUUUACGCGGUGGUGGUUGGCGGGAGGGUCUCGUGCCUUUCCGUCACCCUGCCGCGCGCAUCGGGGCCGAAACGGCCUCGACCUACUCUCAAACUCCGAACGGGCGAGAAGCCCCCGGCGCGCGUGUCGCGCCGGUGGGGAAAGCACCCGGGUUUCCGGUGGGCCGUUUUUGGUAAGCAGAACCGGCGCUGCGGGAUGAACCGAACGUUGGGUUAAGGCGCCCGAUCCGCGCUCAGCGGAUCCCCCGAAAGGCGUCGGUCGCUAUGGACAGCAGGGCAGUGGCCAUGGAAGUCGGAAUCCGCUAAGGAGUGUGUAACAACUCACCUGCCGAAGCGACCGGCCCUGAAAACGGAUGGCGCUCGAGCGCGGAGCCUAUACCCGACCGUCCUUUUAACACGUUAACACGGUAGAAAGGACGAGUAGGAGGGUCGCAGCGGUGCGCUCGGAAGGACGUCGGCGUGAGCCCGUCCGGAGCCGCCGUUGGCGCAGAUCUCGGUAGUAGUAGCGAAUACUCGAACGAGACCCUCGAGGACCGAAGCGGAGAAGGGUUCCACGUGAACAGCGGUUGAACGUGGGUCAGUCGAUCCCGAGGCGGGCCGCGAAAGCGGUUCCGGCCGAAAGGGAAUCGGGUCGAUAUUCCCGGACCCGGUUGCGGAACUCUGCCGCACGUUGUCGCCUCUGUCAUGGGGGUGGCGGCUGCGGCCUAGCGGUGACGCGAACGAACUCGGAGACGUCGGUGGAGGCCCCGGGAAGAGUUGUCUUUUCUGGUCAAGGGUCGGACUCCCUGGAAUCGGUUCGCCCGGAGAUAGGGACGUCGAGACCCGUCAAGCGCCGCCGUUCUCGCGGCGUCCGGAGCGCUUCCACCGGCCCUUGAAAACCUCCGGGGGAGUAGUCGGUCGCACGCGGUUGUCGCGGAGUGGAUUCGUCUGCUCCCUUCGGCCGUUGUAUGCGAUCGGAGGGUUCCGCGCCGGAUCGUACCCGUAUCCGCAGCAGGUCUCCGAGGUGAACAGCCUCUGGUCGAUAGAAGAAUGUAGGUAAGGGAAGUCGGCAAAUCGGAUCCGUAACUUCGGAAGAAGGAUUGGCUCUGAGGGCCGGGACGGGUCGAGGCGUGAUUAAAAAACGAGGUCGGAGGGCGGAAAGGGGUCUGAUUUCGCACGUUGGUCGGUGGGAACUGUGCUGGUAUAUAUAUACCUUCACUUCCCCCAGCCUCGUCGUUUUCUCUCCCCCAGACACCCACCGUCUCGGAAACCCCGCGCCGUCGGACCGUCCGCCUACGGUCGUCUCAGAACCGGCACGGAGCCGGGGAAUCCGACUGUCUAAUUAAAACAGAGCAUCGCGAUCGGGGCCGCUGGACGCGGUGCAGACGCGAUGUGAUUUCUGCUCAGUGCUCUGAAUGUCAAGGUGAAGAGAUUCGAAGAAGCGCGGGUAAACAGCGGGAGUAACUAUGACUCUCUUAAGGUAGCCAAAUGCCUCGUCAUCUAAUUAGUGACGCGCACGAACGGACCGACGAGAUUCCCGCUGUCCCUGACUACUAUCUAGCGAAACCACAGCCGAGGGAACGGGCCCGGCAGAAUCGGCGGGGAAAGAAGACCCUGUUGAGCUUGACUCCAGUCCGAAGCCGCGAGGAGACGCCGAGGGCGUAGCAGUAAGUGGGAGGUGGGGGAUCGCAAGAUUCCCUGCCGGACUUUGAAACACCACUACCGCGGCCGUUUCCUCGCUCAUCCGCUCGAGCUGUACGCCGGUCGGUCAGCCUUGCCGACCGCCUGCUUUCGAGCCGUCUUUGUCAGUGGCGGAGACGGGUUCGGGCGGGGAGUUUGACUGGGGCGGUACAUCCGUCAAAAUGUAACGCGGGUGUCCUAAGGCGGGCUCGGCGAGGUCGGAAACCUCGCUCCGAGCGAAAGGGCAAAUGCCCACUCGACCUGUAUCUUCUGUACGGAUGCGGGCCGCGAAAGCGCGGCCUAUCGAUCCUUUCGGCCUUUGGGCGACAUAAUUUCAAGCGAGAGGUGUCGGAAAAGUUACCACAGGGAUAACUGGCUCGUGGCGGCCAAGCGUCCGUAGCGACGUCGCUUUUUGAUCCUUCGAUGUCGGCUCUUCCUAUCAUUGCGAAGCAGAAUUCGCCGAGCGUCGGAUUGUUCACCCGCCAACAGGGAACGUGAGCUGGGUUUAGACCGUCGUGAGACAGGUUAGUUUUACCCUACCGAUGAUUAAGCCCUCGCCGCGGUAAUCCCGCUCAGUACGAGAGGAACCGCGGGUUCGGACGGUCGGUACUCGCGCUCGCCCGA
rnacentral:rRNA from 1 species